rnacentral:rRNA from 1 species
CCUACGGGAUGCACCAGUGGGGAAUCUUGCGCAAUGGGCGAAAGCCUGACGCAGCAACGCCGCGUGAGCGAAGAAGGCCCUUGGGUCGUAAAGCUCUGUAGGGAGGGAAGAACACCAUGACGGUACCUCCAAAGUAAGCACCGGCUAACUCCGUGCCAGCAGCCGCGGUAAUACGGAGGGUGCAAACGUUGUUCGGAAUUAUUGGGCGUAAAGCGCACGCAGGCGGCCUAUAGGGUCGGGUGUGAAAGCCCGGAGCUUAACUCCGGAAUUGCACUCGAAACCGGCAGGCUUGAAUCUAGCAGAGGAAGGUAGAAUUCCUGGUGUAGGGGUGAAAUCCGUAGAUAUCAGGGGGAAUACCAAUGGCGAAGGCAGCCUUCUGGGCUUAGAUUGACGCUGAGGUGCGAAAGCGUGGGUAGCAAACAGGAUUAGAUACCCGAGUAGUC